rnacentral:rRNA from 1 species
GAUGAACGCUAGCGGCAGGCCUAACACAUGCAAGUCGAGGGAGAGGUUACCUUCGGGUACCCAAAACCGGCGCACGGGUGCGUAACGCGUAUACAAUCUGCCUUUCACAUAGGGAUAUCCCGAAGAACUUUGGAUUAAUACCUAAUGGUAUAUAAGAGCGGCUUCGUUUUUAUAUUAAAGCUACGGUGGUGAAAGAUGAGUAUGCGUUCUAUUAGCUAGUUGGAGAGGUAACGGCUCCCCAAGGCGACGAUAGAUAGGGGUUCUGAGAGGGAUGUCCCCCACACUGGUACUGAGAUACGGACCAGACUCCUACGGGAGGCAGCAGUGAGGAAUAUUGGACAAUGGUCGGAAGACUGAUCCAGCCAUGCCGCGUGCAGGAGGAAGGUCCUAGGGAUUGUAAACUGCUGUUGUAAGGGAAGAAUAAGGAGUACGUGUACUUUGAUGACGGUACCUUACGAAUAAGCAUCGGCUAACUCCGUG